UGCCCUAAGCCGCUCCGUCACAUCGGCUACCGAUUCCGCACGUGCGCGGCGGCACACGCAGCGGUCCUCUUAGCGCCGUUGGUAGGCGAGCGAGCAGAACACAAAAGCAUCAUUCGGAUGAGUUUCUUUGCUAAUCCCCUUGCAGAUGAGGAGGAGGUGGUGCCCCCCGACUACCCUCUGGAGCAGUACGACGAGCUCAAGCGCGAGGAUGACUUCAACGAGCUCCUUGUGCGAUCCACGAAGCUGGAAGGUCGGCAAAGCGGCGGCGAUGACGCGUCGGCCAACCCCGAGCUCGAGGCAUGUCUGAGUCGCACCCGGCAACUGCGAGGCUCGCUGGAGAACUCGUGGCUCCGCAUGAGCGAGUUGCAGGUGGAGGCGACCGGUGGGCCGCGCUCCUCGCCUACGGUGGUGGCAUCCAGUUUGUCCAUCCCAGCCUCCCUUCUGGGGGCUCUCGACAGCGCCAUCACGCAGGUGCACCACCACGUUGCGCAGCGCGAGCGACUGAGCCAACACCUGAGCGCACUGGUUGAGAAAGAGGCUGCUCAGCUUUGUUCUUCGGCAUCUCAUCUACUAACUGCAGCGGCACAGCACGGCCCUGGUGCGUCCAUGUUGCGCGCGCUCAAUGCACCGAACUUGGCGUGGCCGCCGGAGACAGUCUCUUCGCCUCACUCGUCGGAGGUAAUCUGUGAACGUGCAGCUGGGGCUCUGCGUGCUCUGGAGGCGCUUCUCCCUUCCAUGUCGGUGGAGGAGGCUGCUUUGGCGAGUGCUGCGGCGCAGCAGCUGUCGUAUGGACUGCAGUCAUUGAGCACCUUGAAUCAACGCUGCGACGCCCUUCGCGUCACCGUAGAGGUCAAGUCGCAAGAGAAGGCAGAUGCCCACUGCGCCGCUGAGGCGUUUGCUCGGUGGACAGCGCAGCGGCAGCUGACGCGCAGUGAAUCGGCCGCAUCGCCGGCGUCAUCUCCAGUUUCCGCCGCGCCCUCUUUCGACAUUGCCACGGCGGAGUGCCUCAACAAGGAGAUGAGCGAGGAGAACGGGCGACUGGAAGCGGUGCUCGCGCGUCUUGUUGCCACUCAGUCGUUCGACAGAGCGCAGCGCGACGCCUUCGCGGGAAGUGCUCUGGUGCAGUACGUCGGUCUCGAAACCUACGUGCGGGAGCUUGAAGAGGAGGUCGAUCGCCUAGGACGGGCCGUGCUGUACCUUCGUGGCAUUCUGGCCGAGCCGUCUGCGAGCGAGCUGUGGGGUGAACGCCGUGGCGGGAGCUCUGCUGCUGCAUCGACGCAGAGCGCCAGUCACGAGGGUGAGGAGAGGCUGGCGAGGCGUCUGAGCCGCAUCCGCGCAGUGGAGAAAGAGCUGCGGUCGGGGCAGGUAGCGGGCGGUGGAUCAGCGUCGGCGAACGACACCGUCGACACCAUUCUGUCCUUCGGCUUGAACCGACUGCUAGAGGUGCACAACGUCUGCUUACAUGCGAUGGCGCUGCUCAGCACCUACUUUGAGAAGCAGUCGGGAAACGCGGCCUUUCUCAGCUAUGCAUUGCGCGGCGGCGGCGCGGUGGAGGAUGCCACGGUGGAACGCGUGCUGGAUGUGCAAUUCCCUGACGCGGAGCUGGUGAAGCAAUGCUGUGCUGACAUGCGCGGCGCGAGCGUCGAUCUUGGCGCUACGCUGAAGGGUAUUGUGGACAAGUCAAUCGUGGCUGCGACCGCCCAUCUCACGCAGUGGCAGGCUGUGCGGGGCCUGCUGACGGAGCUUCUUCAGUACUCCCUGGCCACGAUGCCGGACGUACACGCCGAGUUUUCGGCUCUGCUCGCAGACUACGCGGAGCCGAAGACGCCGUCGGCCACGGCUGAAUCCGCCGUCUCUGCGACGAUGAGUCAAGUGAACGCGGAUUUCGACUGGGCGACGGCGGUGCUCACCGAGGAGGCGAAGGCGUUUGCUGAUGAGAAGGGAGCGCAGCUGGAGCUCAUCAAGGCGUUCUGGGCGGCGCAGCAAAUCGAGGUCAACAAGAAGAUGGCAUGGCUGGCGAAGCAGCCAAACACCCCGCUCCUAAUGCAGCUGUGCGACGUGGAGAGGGAGAGCGAGCAGCUGCGCCGUCAACUGGCAUCCAUGCAGGAGGCCUCCGAAGACGCGUCUGUUCUCCACAACACGUUGACAGAGCUGGAGAGACGUACCUCCGAGGAGGCACGACUCAAUGCGGGUUUGCGGGUAGAGCUCGAGGAGCUCGAGGCUGCAAGGGGCGAGUUGGAGUCGCAGCGCGAUAUGUUGCUGUCCUCCAUGUCAUAGGGGUGGCAGGACAAGUGCUCGACGGAACGCGUGCCACGGCCACUCGUGACAUUUACCCUUCAAAUGGACGGCUCAGCUGCGUACGUCCCCCGAUGCCUCUCGAAGCACAGCCUUGCCUCG
rnacentral:misc_RNA from 1 species